rnacentral:piRNA from 1 species
UUCCCAGGCUGUCUGUGUAUUCAUGCUGU